rnacentral:rRNA from 1 species
AGCGAACGCUGGCGGCAGGCUUAACACAUGCAAGUCGAGCGCCGUAGCAAUACGGAGCGGCAGACGGGUGAGUAACACGUGGGAACGUACCUUUUGGUUCGGAACAACACAGGGAAACUUGUGCUAAUACCGGAUAAGCCCUUACGGGGAAAGAUUUAUCGCCGAAGGAUCGGCCCGCGUCUGAUUAGCUAGUUGGUGAGGUAACGGCUCACCAAGGCGACGAUCAGUAGCUGGUCUGAGAGGAUGAUCAGCCACACUGGGACUGAGACACGGCCCAGACUCCUACGGGAGGCAGCAGUGGGGAAUAUUGGACAAUGGGCGCAAGCCUGAUCCAGCCAUGCCGCGUGAGUGAUGAAGGCCCUAGGGUUGUAAAGCUCUUUUGUGCGGGAAGAUAAUGACUGUACCGCAAGAAUAAGCCCCGGCUAACUUCGUGCCAGCAGCCGCGGUAAAAC